UUAACUUCUUCCCCAGGCUAGGACUUGCAUCCCAUUGCAGAAUUUUUUUCCAACAUUGUAAUCAAUGUUUGUAGUCUUAUAUAGUUUUAUACCUAGGGAAUUGAGAAAUCAAGUAAUUUGUACAUAAUCAAAGAGUUAGUACAUUUCAGAGGGCAAGCCUCAGGUCUUCCUUCCUGACUCCAAGGCAAGCCAAAGCAGCUAAUAUUUCAAAGGAAAAAAAGCAGCUAAUAUUGAGGGCUUAUAUCCCAAAGAAAAUAAAUCUAGAAAUGACAAAGAGAAGAGAAAUAUUUUUGAAAAGAAAAAUGAACCCUCCUCCCCCAAGAACUCCCUACUCUUCUAUCCUCUCAUCAAAUCAAAUGAACAAACAUAUCUUAUAUAUGUUUGAAUGUAAAACACUGCUCUUGGAACUAGAGAAAACAGGGCAGAAAAGAACUAAAGAACUAGACACAGAGUCUCCAGAUCAGCAUAUAUAAAAAGCAGCUGCAUGAAGUAGAUAGACAGCAACUCAGCAUCAGGAAGGCCAAUGUUUGACCAAGGGCAAAUCAAUUAACCUCUCAAUGCCCUUAGGCAAAGAUCUUAAGCCUACAAAUUAUAGAACACUUGCCAGUUUGGGUUAGUAGGGGAGUUUUCUUUAUUAGGAGUUUCCUUUAUUAAUAAAAUAAAGCAUCUACUCUUAAAAAAACCCCAACCACCUGUGAAAUAAUUUCUUUUGCUUUGUUUUCCAAGCAUGGGCAGGUAGGUUAACAUUCCAUUUAACUAGGCAGCUAAGACUGGACCAUGGUGGAAAGGGGGAUGGAGUAUCAAGGAGCAAGGAUGGAGUAGUAAAUUAUGAUCAAGAAAAGGAGGAGCUAUGCUCUGGUCAGCUCAUCCUGAACAGGACAUUAUAUGCAUUAAAAAAUAUAAAGAUGGCUUA